rnacentral:misc_RNA from 1 species
GGAUCAAAAGAGCUCCGCGCAUACCCAUGCUUGAUCAUGAAAGUGUCAAACUUCUUGUACCACUGCCUUGAAGCUUGCUUCAACCCAUACAGUGACUUUUGAAGCUUGCACACCAGAUCUUACUUCCCAGCAACAGCAUAUCCUUCGGGCUGUGACAUAUAAAUGUCCUCCUUCAAGUCUCCAUGCAAGAACGCAGUCUUGACAUCCAUCUGCUCGAGCUCCAUGUCAAG